rnacentral:rRNA from 1 species
UUGAACGCUGGCGGCAUGUUUUACACAUGCAAGUCGAACGGUAACAGCACUUCGGUGGCUGACGAGUGGCGACCGGGUGAGUAAUACAUCGGAACGUGCCUAGUAGUGGGGGAUAACUACUCGAAAGAGUAGCUAAUACCGCAUGAGAUCUAAGGAUGAAAGCAGGGGACCUUCGGGCCUUGCGCUACUAGAGCGGCUGAUGGCAGAUUAGGUAGUUGGUGGGAUAAAAGCUUACCAAGCCGACGAUCUGUAGCUGGUCUGAGAGGACGACCAGCCACACUGGGACUGAGACACGGCCCAGACUCCUACGGGAGGCAGCAGUGGGGAAUUUUGGACAAUGGGCGCAAGCCUGAUCCAGCAAUGCCGCGUGCAGGAUGAAGGCCUUCGGGUUGUAAACUGCUUUUGUACGGAACGAAAAGCCCUCUUCUAAUACAGGAGGGUCAUGACGGUACCGUAAGAAUAAGCACCGGCUAACUACGUG